rnacentral:rRNA from 1 species
UACGUAGGGUGCGAGCGUUAAUCGGAAUUACUGGGCGUAAAGCGUGCGCAGGCGGUUUUGUAAGCCCGGUGUGAAAUCCCCGGGCUCAACCUGGGAAUGGCAUUUGGGACUGCAAGGCUGGAGUGCGGCAGAGGGGGGUAGAAUUCCACGUGUAGCAGUGAAAUGCGUAGAGAUGUGGAGGAAUACCGAUGGCGAAGGCAGCCCCCUGGGCCAAUACUGACGCUCAUGCACGAAAGCGUGGGGAGCAAACAGG